UCGUAGGGUGCGAGCGUUAAUCGGAAUUACUGGGCGUAAAGCGUGCGCAGGCGGUUCUGUAAGACGGAUGUGAAAUCCCCGGGCUUAACCUGGGAACUGCAUUCGUGACUGCAGGGCUAGAGUGUGUCAGAGGGAGGUGGAAUUCCGCGUGUAGCAGUGAAAUGCGUAGAGAUGCGGAGGAACACCGAUGGCGAAGGCAGCCUCCUGGGAUAACACUGACGCUCAUGCACGAAAGCGUGGGGAGCAAACAG
rnacentral:rRNA from 1 species